GAGGGAUCAUUACUCGAGAUUUACGCUCUAUAACCCUUUGUGAACAUACCUAUAACUGUUGCUUCGGCGGGUAGGGUCCCCGUGACCCUCCCGGCCUCCCGCCCCCCGGGCGGGUCGGCGCCCGCCGGAGGAUAACCAAACUCUGAUUUAACGACGUUUCUUCUGAGUGGUACAAGCAAAUAAUCAAAACUUUUAACAACGGAUCUCUUGGUUCUGGCAUCGAUGAAGAACGCAGCGAAAUGCGAUAAGUAAUGUGAAUUGCAGAAUUCAGUGAAUCAUCGAAUCUUUGAACGCACAUUGCGCCCGCCAGCAUUCUGGCGGGCAUGCCUGUUCGAGCGUCAUUUCAACCCUCAAGCUCUGCUUGGUGUUGGGGCCCUACAGCUGAUGUAGGCCCUCAAAGGUAGUGGCGGACCCUCCCGGAGCCUCCUUUGCGUAGUAACUUUACGUCUCGCACUGGGAUCCGGAGGGACUCUUGCCGUAAAACCCCCAAUUUUCCAAAGGUUGACAUCGGAUCAGGUAGGAAUACCCGCUGAACUUAAGCAUAUCGGAGGGAAGAGAGGAA
rnacentral:rRNA from 1 species